rnacentral:lncRNA from 1 species
AUUUUUAGUAGAGAUGGGGUUUCACCAUGUUGGCCAGUCUGGUCUCGAACUCCUGGGUUCAAGCGAUCCGCCCAGCUCGGCCUCCCAAAGUGCUGGGAUUACAGGUGUGAGCCACUGCACCAGGCCUGAGGCUGCUUUUUUUCUUCUUCUUUUACCUCCUACUCCAAAUGCCUCAUGAAUUCUGAAAUUCUACCUUUAGGCAGAGGACAGUGCCCUUUUCUAGGGGUGGGGCUGAGUUCUGCUAAGGCAGGCCCAAGGAGAGGCACAUAAUGGUGAUUCUCCACGUGGUGGUGCUGACUUCAAUGCAUGACUCAGAGGUCUGGAGGAAGCCAGGUUAAGGUUGUUCUAGGGCCAGGCAUGGUGGCUCAUGCCUGUAAUCUCAGCAGUUUGAGAGACCAAAGCAGGCGUAUCUCUUGAGGCCAGGAGUUCGAGACAAGCCUGGCCAACAUGGUGAAACCCUGUCUCUACUAAAAAUGCAAAAAUUAGCCAGGUGUGGUGGGGCAUGCCUGUAAUCCCAGCUACUUGGGAGGCCGAGGGAUGAGAAUCACUUGAACCCAGGAAGCGGAGGUUGCAGCUAGCUGAGAUCGUGCCACUGCACUCCAGCCUGGGCAACAGAGCAAGACUCUGUCUCAAAAAAAAAAAAAAA